UCCUCCUGAUCUAGACUCUUCUCUUAGAGUAUUUGACAGACUGUGGUUGACACUCGAUCUAAAGGGGUGUCAGUUUGUCAAAUACCCCAAGAGAGG
rnacentral:pre_miRNA from 8 species